AUGAACGCUGGCGGCGUACCUAACGCAUGCAAGUCGGACGGAGAGAUUCUGUGUAGCAAUACAGAGAAUGUCUUAGUGGCAAACGGGUGAGUAACACGUGGGUAACCUACCCCGGAGUGGGGAAUAACGAGCCGAAAGGUUCGCUAAUACCGCAUACGAUCGAGAGAUGAAAGUGGAGCGAAAGCGACACGCUCUGGGAGGGGCCUGCGGCCCAUCAGGUAGUUGGUGUAGUAACGGUGCACCAAGCCGAGGACGGGUAGCUGAUCUGAGAGGAUGACCAGCCGCACUGGCACUGAGAGACGGGCCAGACUCCUACGGGAGGCAGCAGCGAGGAAUAUUGCGCAAUGGGCGAAAGCCUGACGCAGUAACGCCGCGUGCGGGAAGAAGGCCUUCGGGUCGUAAACCGCUUUUCGGAGGGACGAGGAAGGACGGUACCUCUGGAAUCAGUCUCGGCUAACUACGUGCCAGCAGCCGCGGUAAAACGUAGGAGGCGAGCGUUAUCCGGAUUCACUGGGCGUAAAGCGCGUGUAGGUGGUUCGUUAAGUGGUCGGUGAAAGCCCCUGGCUCAACUGGGGGAGGCCCUGCCAAACUGGCGGACUGGAGACUCGGAGAGGAGAGUGGAAUUCCCGGUGUAGCGGUGGAAUGCGUAGAGAUCGGGAGGAACACCAGUGGCGAAAGCGGCUCUCUGGCCGAGUACUGACACUGAGACGCGAAAGCGUGGGUAGCAAACGGGAUUAGAUACCCCGGUAGUCCACGCCCUAAACGAUGCGGGCUAGGUGUUGGUGGGAUUUCCCAUCUGUGCCGUAGCCAACGCGUUAAGCCCGCCGCCUGGGGACUACGAACGCAAGUUUAAAACUCAAAGGAAUUGACGGGGGCCCGCACAAGCAGCGGAGCGUGCGGUUCAAUUCGAUGCAACACGAAGAACCUUACCAGGGUUUGACAUGCACGUGGUAGGGAAGGGAAACCGGACCGACCCGCAAGGGAGCGUGCACAGGUGAUGCAUGGCUGUCGUCAGCUCGUGCCGUGAGGUGUUGGGUUAAGUCCCGCAACGAGCGCAACCCUUGUCGCUAGUUACAGGUGUCUAGCGAGACUGCCGGAAAUUGUCCGGAGGAAGGUGGGGACGACGUCAAGUCAGCAUGUCCUUUAUAUCCUGGGCGACACGCACGCUACAAUGGGCGUUCCAAUGCGUAGCCAAGCCGUGAGGCGGAGCUAAUCGUCUAAAAGCGCCCUCAGUUCAGAUUGCAGGCUGCAACCCGCCUGCAUGAAGUCGGAGUUGCUAGUAAACGCACGUCAGCCAUAGUGCGUUGAAUACGUUCCCGGGCCUUGUACACACCGCCCGUCACGUCAUGGAAGUCGGCAACACCUGAAGUCGGUGAGUGAACCAAACGGACACAGCCGCCGAAGGUGGGGCUGGUAACUGGGACG
rnacentral:rRNA from 1 species